rnacentral:rRNA from 1 species
CCUACGGGAGGCAGCAGUGGGGAAUAUUGGUCAAUGGGCACGAGCCUGAACCAGCGACGUAGCGUGAAGGAUGACUGCCCUCCGGUUUGUAAACUCCUUCUGUAAAGGAGUAAGGUGAGGCUGGUGAGCAUCAUUGAAUGUACUUUACGUACAAGGAACGGACAGCUCCGUUCCAGCCGCGGCGGUAAUACGGAGGAUGCGAGCGUUGUCCGGAUUUAGUGGGUGUAAAGGGAGCGUAGACGGGUUGGUAAGUCAGGUGUGAAAGUUAGUGGCUCAACCGUGAAAUUGCAAUUGAUACUGGCAAUCUUGAGUACAGGUGAGGAUAGCGGAAUUCGUGGUGUAGCGGUGAAAUGCGUAGAUAUCAGGAAGAACACCAGUGGCGAAGGCAGCUUACUGGACUGUAACUGACGUUGAGGCGCGAAAGUGUGGGUAGCAAACAGGAUUAGAUACCCUGGUAGUC